GACGAACGCUGGCGGCGUGCUUAACACAUGCAAGUCGAGCGGUAAGGCCCUUUCGGGGGUACACGAGCGGCGAACGGGUGAGUAACACGUGGGUGACCUGCCCUCAGCUCUGGGAUAAGCCUGGGAAACUGGGUCUAAUACCGGAUAUGACUCCAUGACGCAUGUUGUGGGGUGGAAAGCCUUGUGCGGCUGAGGAUGGGCCCGCGGCCUAUCAGCUUGUUGGUGGGGUGAGGCCUACCAAGGCGACGACGGGUAGCCGGCCUGAGAGGCGACCGGCCACACUGGGACUGAGACACGGCCCAGACUCCUACGGGAGGCAGCAGUGGGGAAUCUUGCGCAAUGGGCGAAAGCCUGACGCAGCGACGCCG
rnacentral:rRNA from 1 species